rnacentral:sRNA from 1 species
GUUUAAGGAACUUCUCCUAAACCGCACACGCCCUGUGUGCAGCGGAGAACCAAGAACAUCCUGUUCA